CCUUCCUGCUCCAAGGUGAAAAACCACUCGUGAGCUUCUGAGGAAGGAAAGGGGACCUACAGAAUAAAUAAAACAAGAGUGACAGAUUUAGGGUCUGCUCUCCCUUGGAGUUAUUUAUCUGUUGGUUUGCUUAUUUAUUUAGGUUGAUGGAGCCCAGGGGUGCUUAACCACUGAGCCCCACCCCCAGCCCUUUUUAUUCUUUAUUUUGAGACAAGGUCUUGGGGACCAGCCUCAGCAACAGCAAGGCCCUAAGCAACUCAGUGAGAGCUUAGGGAUUCAAGUGGGGGCGUGGCCACUGCGGCACGCGGUUAUGGUGGGGGUGUGGUUACUGAAGGGUGUGGCUUAUGGCUAGGGCUCUGAUAGGUGGAACCUGAUUACAAUGGGGCAGGUUGUGUUUGGGCGUGGUCACAGCAGGGGCGUGGUCACAAUGGGGCGUGGUUACAGGGGCCUAUUGUAGGGUGCUGCUAUGGUGGGGGCGUGGUCACUGGCACGUGGUUACGUGGGGGCGUGUUUUAUGGCUAGGGCUUGGGUAAGCGGAACAUGAUUACAGUGAGGCAGGUUGUGGUGGGGCGUGGUCACAGGGGCCUAUUGGAGGGGUGGUUAUGGUGGGGGUGUGGU
rnacentral:lncRNA from 1 species